AGAGACUUAGGAUAAUACAGACCGAGCGCCUUCAAAGCUCUCAGCGGGAGUAAAAAUCUCCCAGUCUCUG
rnacentral:tRNA from 1 species